rnacentral:rRNA from 1 species
GAUGAACGCUGGCGGCGUGCCUAAUACAUGCAAGUCGAGCGAACAGACGAGGAGCUUGCUCCUCUGACGUUAGCGGCGGACGGGUGAGUAACACGUGGAUAACCUACCUAUAAGACUGGGAUAACUUCGGGAAACCGGAGCUAAUACCGGAUAAUAUAUUGAACCGCAUGGUUCAAUAGUGAAAGACGGUUUUGCUGUCACUUAUAGAUGGAUCCGCGCCGCAUUAGCUAGUUGGUAAGGUAACGGCUUACCAAGGCAACGAUGCGUAGCCGACCUGAGAGGGUGGUCGGCCGCACUGGAACGGAGACACGGUCCAGACUCCUACGGGAGGCACCAGUAGGGAAUCGUCCGCAAUGGGCGAAAGCCUGACGGAGCAACGCCGCGUGAGUGAUGAAGGUCUUCGGAUCGUAAAACUCUGUUAUUAGGGAAGAACAAAUGUGUAAGUAACUAUGCACGUCUUGACGGUACCUAAUCAGAAAGCCACGGCUAACUACGUG